rnacentral:lncRNA from 1 species
GAGACCGAAAGCGGAAGUCACGGGGAGCUGGCGGCUGGGUUGGGCGGCGGAUCUGCAGAGUUUCGAGGUUCUGUCAAGUUCGCUGCCCGCCGCCCAACUUGAAGCCUCAUUUACCUUUCGGCUACCUGAUUUGGAUAAAUGGAGAAAAACCGGGGCCUCUAACUCAUAAUGCCCUCCCGCGUUCAAGAUGCCAGUUUUGGGGCGGAGAUUUCUAAAUUAAAGCCUACAUCCCGCGCGGGAAUAUCUGCUGGUAAUUUCUCGCCUGCCAGAAAACUCCUUUGAUCUCUGGCUGUGGAGACUCGGGACCCCUACCCAAGUAUGGGACACUGCCUCCGUUGGGGUUAUCUCAGAUCAAUGGAAUGGGAACAAGCUAUCCGGCCUGGGCGCCGUUCACGUCUCACAUCUGAGAUCGUAACACCGACUGUGCUUAGGACCUCAGCAAUAACUUUUUGCCGUCUCUGGCCCACUGACUCCUCUCAAAAUGUCCCCUGGUCCUUUUGCUAUUCACGUAUUUCUGUGGGCUUGAGAUUUGCUUAACUCCUAUAUUGGCAAAAGGCCACUUGAAAUCGCUAGCAGAUACUCGAUAACCUGAAAGGUAAGCCUGUAGUUCCUCCAUAAAAUUUCCAUGCUGCCCUUCUCUCCAGUAUAAUUCAGAUCUUCCUACCUUAGGGUCUUAGAACUAAAACCAAGAUAAGUCAACUUCAAUUCCACACCCCGAAACAAACCAGUGCAUCCUGUGAAUCUCCUACUAAAAUUUCUUUUCAGGCAAAUAAGCCCACAAUUACUAUACGUUCUAGCGAAGGGAACUCAGUCCCUAAAACCUUUCCCUGUGAUUGUAAAUUUAUUUCUCUAAUAGAAUCUGAACUUGAGAAAGUAAGGUCCCAACAGAGAGGUUUAUAUAGUGAUGAUUCAUUAAUUAGAAGGAUUUAAUUAGAGGAUUAGAGCCACCUUAAAAAGCCUCGUCCACCUUAACUCUUAGCAAUGCCAAUUCUUCAAGGUUUGAAAAGUCCCCCAGUCAUUCCCAAAUGACUGUUAAGAAUGAAAGGGACUGCUUUUCCAUUAUCAAUACUUUUGGGGAAAAAGGGCAAGAGGAAAGGGAAGUAAAACCAGUAUUUAUUGAGUACCUAUUUGCCAGAUACGGCUAGGUGCUCCCACAUCCCAUCUCUUAAUCCUCACAACAACCCUGUGAGGUAGGUAAUAAUGAUCCCCAUUUUUACAGGUGAGGAAGUAGGCUCAGAGAAAUUAAGCAGCUUUCCCAACUUCACACAGUGAGUAAGUACAUCUAUCUGACCCCAGAGUUACCCUUUUCUAUCAUGCCCCCGUAGGAUAUUGCCUGGGGACACCUGACAACAGAAAGUCUAAGGUUUUCAUCUAGGAUUGGGAGUUACCCCAACACCAGCAGGAUGCAGGAAAAAGUAACUGACCGGAUGGUUGCCUCAAUCUGUUGAUUCUUCAGUGAGUUAGCUCAGAUUUUGUCCAGGAACAGCUUUCAGAGCCAAAGAUUACGUAUUGAACUUUACCAAGGCAUCUGGUGACUAGAAAACUCCUGGAAGGUGGUCAUAGCAGAAAUUGUUGGGAAAGUUCUCAGCAUAAUAAAAGAGAAAUUUUUAUUUCCUUCAUGAUCCACUCCUACAGGGAAAAAUAAAUGGCAAAUGAACCCAUGUAUGUCAAACUCUGUAAUAAACACCAGUGAGAUCACAGUGUCAGGAAAUUUCAGCCUGAAUUAAAGAUACCCUUGCUCUUAAAACUUUCUUCUUUGAUGUAUGUGAAGGAAGGGCUGGAGGGCAAAGUCAAAGGAAAAGGCAAAAUAAAUUAACAAAAUGGCUGCCAGGCAAUGUUUAAUGCCCUCCCCUUCCUCCUCCCACCACGUACACUCGCCUUUCCUCCUUCCAUUGGGCUCACACUGCCACCUGCUGGCAAUUCCUUGGAUCUAAUAGCUGAUCAGUGGUGUUUGAAAGAAGAGUUUUUUCCCUGUCUAGGAAUGAUUGAUUCCUCUGUAUGCAUUUAUUUUAAUAGGGAGGAGAGGUGAACAUGUUUUUCAAUCACAAAGGACUCUCCUCCCUAUAUAUACUAUGUUUUUAGGGAACUUCCACAAUGUAAUAGGCACUAGACUGGUAUAAUAAUCUAGUGGUAGGAAGACAACCUAGAAAUUUUCCUAGAACAAAGGGGGAAAGCUGUUUGCCCAGUUUCAUUUAAUUUUUUUUCUUCAUUAGAGAGUUUCAUUUACAACCCCUAUGCUUUCCACAAUCUGCAGGAAGCUUCAAGGUAUGCAUCUUGCUGCCACGGGCUGAACUCUCAGAAGUUAGAGCCAUGGACAUAUUCUCCAAUAUAUUUCUCAAGCACAUUCUGUAGUGCUUUAUCAAAUCAAAGUGCUUUGUGAAAAUAUAAGGUAUCUCAUCAACUUAGACUAUGAACUCCUUAAAAGCAAUGACCACACGCCCUGUGUGGGUCCCAGGGACUAGUGGGUGUUCAACUAUUAUGCACUGAAUUGAACUAAAGGAGUCAAUGUUGUUAUCAGUAUAACCUUUUAUCAUAAAAAUUAUUUAUUAGCUGCUUAAAUGGGAGACUAUCCCACUCCCACCAGCCCAUUUCCCCUUUUGAUGCUCAGUGAGCCAGGAAUUUGUUCAAAUAGAGACCACACCACCCUCUGGCCCUGCCUUGAUCCGUUAGUGUUACCUGAUUCAAUUGAGGGAAGUAGGAUGGACAGGUGGUCCCAGAUGGGUGUCCUGUCCAGUUUGCAGUUAUUCCCUGUUUGUUGAAAAUACCACCACCAAUACCAACCAACACAGUUCCUACAGUCUCAAUCAAUGAACAGCCAAGACCAACUCCCGUGCCCUCUCUCCAACCCAGUGCUGCAGAUAGGAGAGAGAUUUAAGUCUUUGUCACUGAAGCUAAUUUUGAGAGCGAUGAAUGGGAGUAGGAAGGCAUUUAAUGGAUCAUGGAAACCCCACCCUUCCCAUGCCCAACCUUAAGUCUCUUGUACCCGAUUGUCCAGGGGACUGGAGGUGGGUCGCUGCCAUGAGGAGAGAGAUCAGGGAGGCCAGUCCUGGAAAGAAAAGAUUCGCAGUAUUAUUGAUCAGGCUGAUUACCUGGCCUCUCUGUUUCCAGCUACUUUACCAAUUCAAAUGCUAACCUCCACCCUCGCCCGUCUGACCCCCAGUCAUUCUAAUUCUUCCUCCUAAAAGAGAGGAAAGCCAUCCUGCCUUAUUCUUGUCUCUGCUAAGAUCAGGCUCUACCCUUGAUCUCCUGUGUGCAGGAGAGAGACAGAAAAAUAGAACAGAAGGGCUUUUCCUGAAGGGUGGGAGAGAGAGAGCUGCAGUCAGCUUUCCUAUCUUCUACUCCAUGUACCCUAAUUUCUAUUUUGCCUUGUUUCUGGCCAAACUCAGUAAAGGAAUACACCCUACUGGUCCUCUCAUUUUAAGGAAAUCUCAGGUAUAAAACCAGAAAAAUGAUCUAUUAACUCAAGUGGAAACACUUGGCUAUAAUUUAGUUCUUUUUAAACCUAGCAAGGAAAUGAGAAAACAUGGGUCAUUUUCUUACCUUGCUUGGGUGCAAUUACUGCCCUGGACAAUUACACUGAAAAAUAAAAUAUCCUAAAUGGCCCCUAGAAUAACUCCAAACCUGGCCUGCUGCCCUGUAUCCUCCAACUCCUACCCUUAGAGAAUUCCCUGCUUCUGGAAGCAUGGAAAUUUCACCAAUUGAGAGGUUUCACCUCACCUUUGUGACCCUUUUCUCUCGUCACCGUCUCACCAUACCCAGGUUCCCUCCCCUAGCAGUCAAAGAUCACAGCCAAGUCCAAGGCUUUUGCACACGUUCAUCCUGUUGGCUCUGUUCCUGACCCAGGAAACACUAAGCAAAAGCUGUGUGCAGAGACCCCAGCCUCAGCCCUAGCCAGCUGGGAAAAGGUGAUCCCACAAGGUGGUCCUUGCAAUCAUAACUGGCCCCAGCCCCAUAUCCCUCCGAGUGUCCAGCGGCCCAUCAUGACUCCAGCCGGGGUGAGGCGGCAGGACGGAGGUAGCUGUCUGACAUGAUGAUGUCGCUGGUGAGUUGCUGCUCCAGGAACUCAGAGGUCUCCUCAGCUAUCUGGCCUGGGAUUCGAAAGUCAACAGCAGGUGGCUCCUGCUUGGGGCUGGGUAGGGGUCGGGAAACCCAGGACUCAGAAGGACAGCCAGUCCCCUGAAGGAACUGCAGGAAGUUCUCCUCAAUGGAGCCCUCCCGGCUAGGCAGCCUCAGCUCCUCCUCUGGAGCUGGCUUGAAGAAGCAGACAAACUGCUUGCUGAGCUCCCCCCGGAUCUGCCGGUUGAGACAUCCAUAGAAGAAAGGGUUGGAAGUGAAGCAAAAGUAGCCAAUCCAGGUGACCACACUCUCCACCUGCCCAGUUGAAAUGGGCUGAGCACUCAGGGCAACAUAGAGGUGGAAAGAGAAGUAGGGCAACCAACAGAGCAGGAACUGUCCCCCCACAGCCAGGAGAACCACUGCUGCUUUCCCUCCCCCAAACGUCCGGUGUGGGGUGGUCUGGGGGGCCCCCGAGCUGGUGACCAUCGUGGAGCGGCUGCUGAGAGAUUCGGAGCGUUGCCGGGGUGUCUCCAUCCACGUGGGCAGCGGCCCGUGCUGCAUGGCAGCCACGCGGGCCACUCGGAACAUGCUGCAGUAGACCACAAGUAUGAGGAGCAGGGGCAACAGAAAGUAAAGGACAGCAAAGACCACCACAAAAAGCUGGCAGUAGGCACUGUGGCUCCACUGGAGUGAACAGCCUGGGGGGACACUGGGAGCUCCUUCCUCCCAGGAGACCCUUCCCAACACUGGCACAGAAGCCAUGGCCAAGGCCUUCACCCACACACCCACCAGCACAGAGGCCACCAGCCCCAGCGUCAUGCGCACCUCGUAGCGCAUGGGGUGGACUACGUAAUAGUAGCGCUCCACAUUGAUGGCUGACACCGAGAGGAUGGCCAGGCUGACAAAGCACACGCUCAGAAACAAGUAGAGGCGGCAGGCCACCUCCCCAAAGAGGGCGUGGUCAAAGAGGGCAGAGCUGGAGAGCAUGGCCAGGGGCAUGAGGGUCAGGGCAGCCAGCAGGUCCACCAGGCAGAGGUGGAAGACGAAGACAAAUUUUCGGAGGGCAGGCGUCUUGGCGAUCACGGCCAUCACAGCGGCAUUGCCAGCCACAGCAGUCAAGUCCAGCAGGAGCAUGAAGAAGAGGGCCA